AGUUAAAUGGGACUUCAGGUCUCCCCGAUAACAAAGUAUUAUCAACAAAACUUUCUGCUAUAAACGAUCUUAAAAAAUAUAUGAAAAGAGUGAUGCCAUUCGUUCAAGCCACAAGAGAUAAUCUACAAAAGAUUGGUCCCGAAGCACUCUCUGUUGCCUUGGCCUUUGAUGAGGCCCAACUGCUUGAAGAUAACAAACAAUAUCUGCUGAAUACUUUGGAUCUUGACGCAAUCGAAGUCAAACAUACAUACAGUCCUGAUACUCCAGAAAAAACGAUAGAAGACUGUGCGCCUGGUAGUCCACAUGUCAACUUUAUUGCGGUACCUGGACUUACAGUGA